GUCUAUUUGAAGAUAUAAAAAGUCUAGCCUGCCCACUGAUAAAAUUUAAAGGGCCGCGGUAACCUGACCGUGCAAAGGUAGCAUAAUCGUUAGUUUUUUAAUUGGAAUCUUGUAUGAAUGGUUGAACAAAAGAAUUUCUGUCUCUAUAUUUUUUUUGAAUUUAACUUUUAAGUGAAAAGGCUUAAAUGUGUUUAAAAGACGAUAAGACCCUAUAAAGCUUAAUAAAUAUUGUUAUUUAAUAUGAAUUUCUUUAUAAUAAUUAACUAAUUAAGAUUUAUUUUGUUGGGGCGACAAUAAUAUAAUGUUCAUUAACUGUUAAAUUUUAAAACAAAAUUAAUUGACUAAUAAUUAUACAUGAUCCUUUUUAAAGAUUAAAAGUUUAAGUUACUUUAGGGAUAACAGCGUUAUUUUUCUUGAGAGUCCCUAUCGAAAGAAAAGUUUGCGACCUCGAUGUUGAAUUAAAAUUUCUUUAUAAUUGCAGAAGUUAUAAAAGAGGGUCUGUUCGACCUUUAAAUUUUUACAUGAUUUGAGUUCAAACCGGCGUGAG
rnacentral:rRNA from 1 species